GACGAACGCUGGCGGCGUGCCUAAUACAUGCAAGUAGGACGCAGUUGCGAACGGGUGAGUAACGCGUAGGUAACUGCCUAUUAGAGGGGGAUAACUAUUGGAAACGAUAGCUAAUACCGCAUACUAGUAGAUGGACCUGCGUUGUAUUAGCUAGUAGGUAGGGUAAUGGCCUACCUAGGCGACGAUACAUAGCCGACCUGGAGGGGUGGUCGGCCACACUGGGCAUGGGAAAAUGCCCAGACUUCUACGGGAGGCAGCAGUAGGGAAACUUCGGCAAUGGGGGGAACCCUGACCGCGCAACGCCGCGGGAGUGAAGAAGGUUUUCGGAGCGUAAAGCUCUGUUGUUAAGGAAGCGGUACUUAACGAGAAAGGGACGGCUAACUACGUGCCAGCAGCCGCGGUAAUAC
rnacentral:rRNA from 1 species